ensembl:snoRNA
GUGACUGUUCCCAGUAUGGUUGCAUCUGCUAGAAGUACAAUGCAAUCAUAGACCAGUGACACACAUUAAAAUAGAUGGUUCCUGCCAACAGGGUCUGUAUAGUGAUCAGAUUUUCUGUGCGAUGGCUCCAUACAUG